GGAGCAUGUACCAAGGCUGGCGAUAGACACUUGCAAUGUCUGUGUGGUGAGUUCGAUUCUCAUCUUCUCCA
rnacentral:tRNA from 1 species